rnacentral:rRNA from 1 species
CUUGGUCAUUUAGAGGAAGUAAAAGUCGUAACAAGGUUUCCGUAGGUGAACCUGCGGAAGGAUCAUUACAAAUCGUAUGGGUUGUGGUGUAAUGCCAUGGCCUAAUUGUUCGAUGCAGCGAUGCAUCGUUUCGCGCUUGUAUGUUUGUCAUAGUAAUGUACCAUAUUAAAAAGACAACUUUUAACAAUGGAUCUCUUGGCUCUUGCAACGAUGAAGAACGCAGUAAAGUGCGAUAUAUAGUGCGAUUUGCAUGAAUCUGUGAGUCAUCUAGUCUUUGAACGCAACUUGCGCCACCUAGUGGCAUGUCUGUUUGAGUACCGCAUACCUAAUGCAGCAAUGCAAGCUGAUCAAACCGAAUGGUUUGGUUGAAAUAUAGCUAGUCAAAGAGGUGUGGAGCUUUUCUCUAUGAGCCAGAGACGCAAGUCUUUCAUGGAGUAGGCAACUAGCUCUCGGCAAGUAAGUAAGUGCACAACAACACUAACCCAAAACCAACAACUAUAUUUGGUCUCAAAUCAGGCAAGACUACCCGCUGAACUUAAGCAUAUCAAUAAGCGGAGGA